rnacentral:rRNA from 1 species
CCCUUAGAUGUUCUGGGCCGCACGCGUGCUACACUGAGUGGAUCAGCGGGUCAGGUUGCGCGAAAGUGUUUCCUAAUCUUUAAAUCCGCUCGUGAUGGGGAUUGACGGUUGCAAUUUUCCGUCAUGAACGAGGAAUACCUUGUAAGCGCGGGUCAUCAUCCCGCGCUGAAUACGUCCCUGCCCUUUGUACACACCGCCCGUCGCUCCUACCGAUUAGUGGUCCGGUGAGGCUUUGGGAUCUGGGCGGAAAGAGCGUUUCGCUGUUUCUGCCCGGAAAACUCAGUCGAACCUUAUCAUUUAGAGGAAGGAGAAGUCGUAACA